GAGGSGUGCAAGCGUUAUUCGGAAUUAUUGGGCGUACAGGGUGUGUAGACGGCAUGUUAAGUCAACUGUUUAAUUCUCCGGCCUAACCGGAGGUCAGCAGUAGAAACUGGCGUGCUAGAGGAUGGAAGAGAGAAGUGGAAUUCUCGGAGUAGCGGUAAAAUGCGUAGAUCUCGAGAGGAACACCAAUGGCGAAAGCAGCUUCUUGGUCCAUAUCUGACGUUGAGACACGAAAGCGUGGGGAGCAAACAGGAUUAGAUACCCUGGUAGUCCACGCUGUAAACGAUGAUCACUAGACGUUAGCUCUGUUCUACAGGGCUAGUGUCGCAGCUAACGCGUUAAGUGAUCCGCCUGGGAACUACGGUCGCAAGACUA
rnacentral:rRNA from 1 species